GACGAACGCUAGCGGCAGGCUUAACACAUGCAAGUCGAGGGGUAUAGGAAGCUUGCUUCCUAGAGACCGGCGCACGGGUGCGUAACGCGUAUGCAACCUACCUUUUACAGAGGGAUAGCCCAGAGAAAUUUGGAUUAAUACCUCAUAGUAUAUGUUUUUCGCAUGUUAGACAUAUUAAAGUAACAACGGUAAAAGAUGGGCAUGCGUCCUAUUGGCGAGAUGGUAAGGUAACGGCUUACCAUGGCAACGAUAGGUAGGGGUCCUGAGAGGGGGAUCCCCCACACUGGUAAUGAGACACGGACCAGACUCCGACGGGGGGCAGCAGUGAGGAAUAUUGGACAAUGGGCGCAAGCCGGAUCCAGCCAUGCCGCGUGCAGAAAGAAGCAGCUAUGGUGUGUAAACUGCUUUUGUACGGGAAGAAACACUCCCUCGUGAGGGAGCUUGACGGUACCGUAAGAAUAAGGAUCGGCUAACUCCGUGCCAGCAGCCGCCGUAACAC
rnacentral:rRNA from 1 species